ACAAACGCUCGUCCUCGAGCGUACCAAGAGUUGUACUAGAAGCAACCCAAUAACUGAGUGACCUUACCAAGCAUAUACCCGGGGUGAUCCCACGAAACCCUGACUCACAUAGGUACCGAUAACACCACAAAGCUGAAAUUUCACAAUCCAUCUAGCCCAUAAACCGUAGAACCACACUGCACUACCCGAAAUCAUACACAAGAACAUAACCUCACCUCUAUACUCAGAAUCAAUCUGAACCAACUGUAAUAACCCACACCAGAACCUCAGGUGAAUUCAUACAAUGUACACCACAUUCCAACACUCGGAAAAAUAGUCUCUAUUCAUAGAAGUUACUGACAGUACUCAAUUACCAGUAGGAAACCACUUAUCUAGCUAAAGUCUUAUUCCAACACUUUCGCGUAUUGCCAGCGAUAACCAAAACAUGCAACGAACAGUAGCGGUCGCUUCCAAGUUGACUAUUACCACAACAGAUUUUCGGGCCACACCUCGAUAUUAUCCUUCUAACCAGCUGAAAUCAAAUCUGUUCAUAUUCAUUAAUGACCCCAAUGCUCACCUCGAAUAUAGCACACCACCUCUAGUGAUAUGAUACCUCAAUACAUGCCUAAGCCACAAUUGCAUAAUAUACGUGCCAACAAGAAACAAUCUACACAUACCCUAAAUCCCAAAUCUGUUCAUAUUUAUUAAUGACCCCAAUGCUCACCUCGAAUCUAACACACCACUUUUGGUGAUAUGAUACCUCAAUAUAGGCCUAAGCCACAAUUUCAUAAUACACGUACCAACAAGAAACAGUCUACACAUACCCCAAAUCAGGGCAAAUGACUCAACCGAAAGAGUUAUACCUCAAGAUCAUCAAUACCUUCACAAAACCAAGCUGAGACCCCGUCUCACAUCAUAGGAAUAGAGUAUAUGAAUCCUCCUCGAGAGGUCAUAACUUCAAGUGGCAUCGCCAUAACGCGUGAUCCUAUCCCAACACCGUCAAACAUGAAGCACCUCAAGUUACCCUGCUCAAAGUAGACAGCCAUGCACAGAUCUAUGCCUGAAACCAAAUCUCCCAAUCACACUCACGGUGAACAAGUAAUAUAUACCAUUCAGUCCUGAAAGGACACAACCGAUACACUAUCUGCCAAGCGAUUCUCAAUACGGACUUCCCUGGGAAGCCAGGAAGCAAGGAAUACAAAGCAACACAUGGAAAGCUAUUCUCGACAUUACACCGUUUCGGCACGCAACCCGACCCAGAUAAUAUACUCGUGGCGGCGUGCCCCCGAUCCACACAACUACCUCACAUAGGGAGGUGCUCAUCGAGCCAAAUUUGCUCAUAAUAACAAAAUAUCAACAUCGGUCGUAAGCAAACUGAGUGCAUAAAGAUAUCUAUUAAGCGUUGUGAGUUACAAAUUCCACUUCCACUACUAUAACUCAUAUCGGAGCCGUACGAUAUGGUGCCCAACACCAAAUAAUCACUGAAAUCCACAGUCUCGCCCGGCAACAUGCCCGGCCACAAGGACGCAUCUGAAAAGACCCUCAAUACUGAAACCGAAAUAAUGGUGGAAUCCUCUAUACUGACAUCCACCCCGAAGGCCCAAUCAAGGAACACAAUCCCUCCCAGCCGUCCGCUGGUCUUUGGAACAUAACCAUUCAGCUAGAACAUGGUCUGAUACACUUUGCCACGCAACCUGCGGCAUUACCCAACAUGACUCGUAGCACAAUCGUUUAGAAUACUCCAACACUGAGAUAAUAACUCUACAUUCCAAUGUCCUAUCCAGAAUUUAAUAUACUAAGCAAGGAAAGAUCCACCCGGAUUCCAAACUCCCAAUAGCCGCUGACAGUACCAAUACAACACCCACGCUCCCAUAACCACUACAUAGACUGCAUCGGAGAACUCCCAAUAUCCAACUAACCAUAGCACAUAAAUUACUGAACCUGAACCCAAAUACGAAUACAUAUUACACCUCGAGUAUCCAAUUAUUCCACGAGAGGUAUUCAAAAACUCCCUUGUA
rnacentral:lncRNA from 1 species